UCCAGACACUUAGGACAUUGUCUAUGUAUGUGCUUCAGAGCACACGAUUUUGGGAGCCGAUGUUAUCACUCCAGAUGAAGACCAGUGGAAGGGAACCCACAGCUCUUGGAAAAAUUAGACGAUGCAGAUGAAACGUGUCAAGCUUUGGAUGAUCGACAUGCACAGGCAACUCAUCAGUCUUCAGUAGACAAGUUUUCACCUUUGUACAUCUCCCUGAAGCUAGGGGACUGAUUGGUUGUAAAUGUUCCUAAGAACAUUUUUUUUAUGUUCGUUAACCAUUUGGAAUAGUGACAGCUAAUAAAUAGAGUUGGGGCGAACCGUUUGUGGCGAACUCCGGUCAGCUGACACAUCCCGGCCAAUCUCCAGCAGACCCUCCCUCCCAGACCCUCCUACUUCCUGGACAGCAUCCAUGAGAAGUUCGCGGACGGUUCGCGACAUCUCUACAAAUAAAAUCAAUGAAAUUAUUUCCAUCAGUAGGCUUAAAAUUUUUUUUCUUUCUAUUGUAAAAUCAGUAACAAAUAAGCAAUAUCUACUUACUUAAGAAAGAGAUCAAAGUAUUUGCUGAGCCUCUCUAUAUUACCUACACGUAGAAGAAGCACACAUAGUGUUAACAAACUACCAUUGCUUUACUUUCUGUUUUGGUUUUAUAACUUAUAUUAACCGUCAUGACACAUUGUUUUACGAACAUCCUAUGGGAAAUUGGUGUAAGGUGAUACUUAUCUUACCUAUCAAGUUAAAAAGUGACAAUGUAAUAGAUAUUAACAUGUACUUGUUAUAGAAAGCUGUUACAUGUUGAAUAUGAUAUCUUAUUGGAAUGAUGCCAUGUACAACUUUGCUUUCUGUGCAUAAAUGUGUCACUGAUUUGUAUGUUAUCUUUGAAAAAAAU